CUGGCAGGCCUAACACAUGCAAGUCGAGCGGUAGCACAGAGAGCUUGCUCUCGGGUGACGAGCGGCGGACGGGUGAGUAAUGUCUGGGAAACUGCCUGAUGGAGGGGGAUAACUACUGGAAACGGUAGCUAAUACCGCAUAAUGUCGCAAGACCAAAGUGGGGGACCUUCGGGCCUCAUGCCAUCAGAUGUGCCCAGAUGGGAUUAGCUAGUAGGUGGGGUAACGGCUCACCUAGGCGACGAUCCCUAGCUGGUCUGAGAGGAUGACCAGCCACACUGGAACUGAGACACGGUCCAGACUCCUACGGGAGGCAGCAGUGGGGAAUAUUGCACAAUGGGCGCAAGCCUGAUGCAGCCAUGCCGCGUGUGUGAAGAAGGCCUUCGGGUUGUAAAGCACUUUCAGCGGGGAGGAAGGCGAUGAGGUUAAUAACCUUGUCGAUUGACGUUACCCGCAGAAGAAGCACCGGCUAACUCCGUGCCAGCAGCCGCGGUAAUACGGAGGGUGCAAGCGUUAAUCGGAAUUACUGGGCGUAAAGCGCACGCAGGCGGUCUGUCAAGUCGGAUGUGAAAUCCCCGGGCUCAACCUGGGAACUGCAUUCGAAACUGGCAGGCUAGAGUCUUGUAGAGGGGGGUAGAAUUCCAGGUGUAGCGGUGAAAUGCGUAGAGAUCUGGAGGAAUACCGGUGGCGAAGGCGGCCCCCUGGACAAAGACUGACGCUCAGGUGCGAAAGCGUGGGGAGCAAACAGGAUUAGAUACCCUGGUAGUCCACGCCGUAAACGAUGUCGAUUUGGAGGUUGUGCAGCUUUGAGGCGUGGCUUCCGGAGCUAACGCGUUAAAUCGACCGCCUGGGGAGUACGGCCGCAAGGUUAAAACUCAAAUGAAUUGACGGGGGCCCGCACAAGCGGUGGAGCAUGUGGUUUAAUUCGAUGCAACGCGAAGAACCUUACCUGGUCUUGACAUCCACAGAACUUUCCAGAGAUGGAUUGGUGCCUUCGAGAACUGUGAGACAGGUGCUGCAUGGCUGUCGUCAGCUCGUGUUGUGAAAUGUUGGGUUAAGUCCCGCAACGAGCGCAACCCUUAUCCUUUGUUGCCAGCGGUUCGGCCGGGAACUCAAAGGAGACUGCC
rnacentral:rRNA from 1 species